rnacentral:sRNA from 1 species
CGAUGAAAUCGAUUGUGAUCAGAGAGCGUGAGGCUGCUGAAGCAGCCCGGUGAAAUAUUGCCUUCGGCAAUGUGAAAUACGCCUUCGGCGUGUGAAAUAUUGA